rnacentral:tRNA from 1 species
GGAGAGGUGGCAGAGUGGUCGAAUGCGGCGGUCUUGAAAACCGUUGACGGUGUGAAUCGUCCGGGGGUUCGAAUCCCUCCCUCUCCGCCA